GAAAAUUUAGUUAAUUAUAACAUUAGAUCGUCAUUCUAAAAUAAAUAAUUAUAUUUAUUAUUUUUCU
rnacentral:tRNA from 1 species